GAUGAACGCUAGCUACAGGCUUAACACAUGCAAGUCGAGGGGAAACGACAUCGAAAGCUUGCUUUUGAUGGGCGUCGACCGGCGCACGGGUGAGUAACGCGUAUCCAACCUGCCCACCACUUGGGAAUAACCUUGCGAAAGUAAGACUAAUACCCGAUGAUAUCCCUAGAAGACAUCUGAAAGGGAUUAAAGAUUUAUCGGUGAUGGAUGGGGAUGCGUCUGAUUAGCUUGUUGGCGGGGUAACGGCCCACCAAGGCAACGAUCAGUAGGGGUUCUGAGAGGAAGGUCCCCCACAUUGGAACUGAGACACGGUCCAAACUCCUACGGGAGGCAGCAGUGAGGAAUAUUGGUCAAUGGGCGAGAGCCUGAACCAGCCAAGUAGCGUGCAGGAUGACGGCCCUAUGGGUUGUAAACUGCUUUUAUAAGGGAAUAAAGUGAGUCUCGUGAGGCUUUUUGCAUGUACCUUAUGAAUAAGGACCGGNUAAAUUCCGUG
rnacentral:rRNA from 1 species